rnacentral:lncRNA from 1 species
CGGUGGUUUCAGGUCCCGGGUUCUGUCUGGCGGCUCUGCUUCUAAUGCGGAGCUGGCGGUUUUGCAGCAACGCUUUUGCCAGUAGCGCCCACUGAGCGGUUUUUCAGUUGCUGCACCGUUCUUAGCGCCCAACGGAACGUUUCCCGUACGCGGAGUCCAUAAGUUGUCUGUGUCGUCACUUUCUCGGUUCUGGCACCGCUAGUAUCUCCUAGGAACUUCCUAAACCCGUUUUACGGUGCAGAACGGUAAUUGCACCGAGCCUCUGUGCCAACUAGUACUUCCGUAAUACCGUUAGCCGGCUCUUUUCCUGUCACAACACAUUAAAACGUGUUAAAACACAUUAAACGGAUUAAACACAUUAAACGGAUUAAAACACAUUAAAACGUCACAACACAUUUAAACAGAGUCGGUCCAUUCCUCCAGACAGUAUGUUUCGGGAUGGAAGCACCCCUCCUAAGAAUCCGCAGUUUCUUUCUAGCAGCACCGUUAUGGCGCCUAAACGGAUAUUUGUUUGGCAAUACCAGCGCUAUCCGCUAGGUGCCGGCGCUUGCUGAGUCUCAGCGCCGCCAGAUUCUUGCUAGCGAGGUCCAGAGCAGUGCAGAGACCUAGCGGACAGUUUUCCGGUGGCAGCAAUGCUCAUUUCCCGGACACAGAUGGUUUUUGGCCCCUGAAGAACUCUUUAAUCCCUGCGUUUUGUAGCGCUCGUUCUCUGGCUUUCACUCCUGGGUCGAAAAAGGUCACCAACUCCUACUAAAUCUUAAACAUUAACAGCAACUGAAGCCUCAUCUUCAGACCUAAGAGAAGAUGAAAAUCAGAAGAAGCUGCAUUCACAAGACCUGUGUCCAGAAAAUUAAACUAUUCAACCCCCUAGUCCCAGGGACUAUUGCAGAAGAAGUGGGUGUUUGGACUUGUAAGGACCUACUUUAAGAGAGAAAGUUAGUUCAGUAUUUCUCUAUAAACAGUGGUUUUGUUUUGUUUUGUUUUGUUUUGUUUUGUUUUGACAGGAACUAGCUCUGUCACCUGGGUUGGAAUGCAGUGGCAUGAUCCUGGCUCACUGCAACCUCCAUCUCCCAGACACAAGCGAUCCUGCCACCUCAGCCUCCUGAGUAGCUGGGACUGCAGGUGUGUACCACCAUGCCUGGCUAAUUUUUGUAUUUUUUGUAGAGACAGUGUUUCAUCACAUUGCCAAGGCUAGUCUCAAACUCCUGAGAUCAAGGAAUCCACCCACCUAUGCCUCUCAAAGUACUGAGAUUACAGAUGUGAGCCACAAUGGCCAGCCUAUAAAGAUUAAUAUAAAAGGAACACUGAUGCAAGACCAGCCUGUGGGCCCCUGUGUCAGAUUAGCAAUGUUUUCUUGAGGUAUUAACCCAUUCUUUUUUUAAACAUUAUAAAACGUUAUGAAAGGUUUAUAAAAUUAUUGCUUCUGGUCAAGAUGAUUAAAAUUUAAUACACUUGUCUAUAAGAUUUGAGAAAUAGAUUUAAUUGGCUUCAUUCUAUCUUCAUUAGGUCUUAUUUUUUGGGAAAGUAAGUCUCAAAGAGUAAAAGGUUUUGCCUUUUUGUUUUUGAAAUAUUUGAGUUACCACUUUGACUAAAUGACUGACUUAUUUUACAAUGACCUGUGAUUCUAUUUUGUGAUAUCAAGUGUUUUAAACAUUGACCUUGUUUUAAGUAUUUGACAAACUUUCUAAAAUCCAAUUCUAAAUUCGGUCUUUUUUACCUCAUUAAUUUUUUUGACAUUAAGUCCCCUGAAAUCCAAAGAGAUAUAUUUGGCUUAUUUGGCAUAAUAAGAUCACAUAAGAUGCAUUAUCAAAUAUGAAAUGAUAUUUAACUUUCUUUAGAUUGUAUUUAUAUGAAUGUCUUAUUAGUAUGUAUUACAAAAUCGUAUGAGAUUCCUGUGAUUCUGAAAUGUUAGUGUAUGUUAUCAGAACUAAUUAUGAUCAUUAUAUUAAAUUGUUGUACGC